rnacentral:rRNA from 1 species
UAAGGAAUAUUGGUCAAUGGAGGCAACUCUGAACCAGCCAUGCCGCGUGCAGGAAGAAGGCCCUAUGGGUCGUAAACUGCUUUUGAACAAGAGAAAACCCCGGUACGUGUACUGGGUUGAUAGUAUUGUUAGAAUAAGCAUCGGCUAACUUCGUGCCAGCAGCCGCGGUAAGACGAAGGAUGCAAGCGUUAUCCGGAUUCAUUGGGUUUAAAGGGUGCGUAGGCGGACUGAUAAGUCAGUGGUGAAAUCUCUCGGCUUAACCGAGAAACUGCCAUUGAUACUGUUAGUCUAGAGUACAGAUGAUGUGGGCGGAAUAUGACAUGUAGUGGUGAAAUACUUAGAUAUGUCAUAGAACACCGAUUGCGAAGGCAGCUCACAAAACUGUAACUGACGCUGAGGCACGAAAGUGCGGGGAUCAAACAGGAUUAGAUACCCAUGUAGUCCCUGAGCGGGCUGGCAAGGCGCAU